rnacentral:lncRNA from 1 species
CUUUCCCCUUUUGAUAUUAUUUUUCUUAUAAAUUACUUCUUCACAAGAACUAAGAGGCACCCUGUAGGUGGAGCCACAAGCAGCUAAAGUAACAUUUGCAAGCUAGUCUUUCUGUUUGGAUAGUUGAACUCAAAAUUAUAUGAUGGGUUGAAUUGCCCAUUGGCUUAUGGCUCAAAAUUAUCUCAUGGUAAAUCAACCGGCAAUC